rnacentral:rRNA from 1 species
CCCUUAGAUGUUCUGGGCCGCACGCGCGCUACACUGAUUCAUGCAACAAGUUUUGUCCUUGGCUGAUAGGCCUGGGUAAUCUUUGAACGUGAAUCGUGAUGGGGAUAGAUGAUUGCAAUUAUUCAUCUUCAACGAGGAAUUCCUAGUAAACGCAAGUCAUCAGCUUGCAUUGAUUACGUCCCUGCCCUUUGUACACACCGCCCGUCGCACCUACCGAUUGAAUGGUCCGGUGAAAUCUUCGGAUCUGAGAGAUGUCUGAUUAAUUUCGGACGCCUUUUGGAAAAGUUGCCUAAACCUUACCAUUUAGAGGAAGGUGAAGUCGUAACA